GCGGGUGUGGCGGAAUGGUAGACGCCGGGGACUUAAAAUCCCCUGUCCCUUGGACGUGUGGGUUCGAGUCCCACCACCCGCACCA
rnacentral:tRNA from 8 species